rnacentral:rRNA from 1 species
CGCAUCUGUGCAUGCAGCAUAUCAAUAAGCGGAGGAAAAGAAACUAACAAGGAUUCCCUCAGUAACGGCGAGUGAAGCGGGAAGAGCUCAAAUUUGAAAUCUUGAAAGGUCACCUUUCACGAAUUGUAGUUUAAAGAAGUGUUUUCUGUUACGAUCGUAAUAUAAGUUCUUUGGAAUAGGACAUCACAGAGGGUGAGAAUCCCGUCUAUGAUUGCGAUUUGUAGCUUUGUGAUACACUUUCAAAGAGUCGGGUUGUUUGGGAAUGCAGCCCAAAACGGGAGGUAAAUUUCUUCUAAGGCUAAAUAUUGGCGGAGAGACCGAUAGCGAACAAGUACCGUGAGGGAAAGAUGAAAAGAACUUUGAAAAGAGAGUUAAAUAGUACGUGAAAUUGUCAAAAGGGAAGCGUUUAACACCAGUGUUGUUUUCUGAAAAUCAACCUCUGUUAGCUUUAUGCAUGUUUGUUUAGACCUAAUCAGCUAUCUUGCAUGUUCUAUUGUUUGCAGUGGUGCACUUUUCAGUUUACAGGUCAACAUCAGUUUUUUUUACCGUAAAAAAGUUAAAGAAAGGUAGCUCAUGGCUCCGGUCGUGAGUGUUCUAGUCUUUUUCCUAUGCGGUAGGAGAGACUGAGGUCUUGCAGUGUAGGCUAUUUGGCUAGAUACUCAGGUGCUAUGUGAUACCAUUUCAUAAACAACUUGUUGAUUAUGUUUUGUCUAUUGCAUACUCGCUUGUACUAUCAUACCUACGCUUAGGAUGUUGACGAUCAGCUGAGCGCG